rnacentral:rRNA from 1 species
UCAGAUUGAACGCUGGCGGCAGGCUUAACACAUGCAAGUCGAGCGGUAACAUUUCUAGCUUGCUAGAAGAUGACGAGCGGCGGACGGGUGAGUAAUACUUAGGAAUCUACCUAGUAGUGGGGGAUAGCACGGGGAAACUCGUAUUAAUACCGCAUACGACCUACGGGAGAAAGGGGGCAGUUUACUGCUCUCGCUAUUAGAUGAGCCUAAGUCGGAUUAGCUAGAUGGUGGGGUAAAGGCCUACCAUGGCGACGAUCUGUAGCUGGUCUGAGAGGAUGAUCAGCCACACCGGGACUGAGACACGGCCCGGACUCCUACGGGAGGCAGCAGUGGGGAAUAUUGGACAAUGGGGGAAACCCUGAUCCAGCCAUGCCGCGUGUGUGAAGAAGGCCUUUUGGUUGUAAAGCACUUUAAGCAGUGAAGAAGACUCUGUGGUUAAUACCCACAGACGAUGACAUUAGCUGCAGAAUAAGCACCGGCUAACUCUGUGCCAGCAGCCGCGGUAAUACAGAGGGUGCAAGCGUUAAUCGGAAUUACUGGGCGUAAAGGGAGCGUAGGUGGCUCGAUAAGUCAGAUGUGAAAUCCCCGGGCUCAACCUGGGAACUGCAUCUGAUACUGUCGUGCUAGAGUAUGUGAGAGGAAGGUAGAAUUCCAGGUGUAGCGGUGAAAUGCGUAGAGAUCUGGAGGAAUACCGAUGGCGAAGGCAGCCUUCUGGCAUAAUACUGACACUGAGGCUCGAAAGCGUGGGUAGCAAACAGGAUUAGAUACCCUGGUAGUCCACGCCGUAAACGAUGUCUACUAGUCGUUGGGUCCCUUGAGGACUUAGUGACGCAGCUAACGCAAUAAGUAGACCGCCUGGGGAGUACGGCCGCAAGGUUAAAACUCAAAUGAAUUGACGGGGGCCCGCACAAGCGGUGGAGCAUGUGGUUUAAUUCGAUGCAACGCGAAGAACCUUACCUGGUCUUGACAUAUCUAGAAUCCUGCAGAGAUGCGGGAGUGCCUUCGGGAAUUAGAAUACAGGUGCUGCAUGGCUGUCGUCAGCUCGUGUCGUGAGAUGUUGGGUUAAGUCCCGCAACGAGCGCAACCCUUGUCCUUAGUUACCAGCGGGUUAAGCCGGGAACUCUAAGGAUACUGCCAGUGACAAACUGGAGGAAGGCGGGGACGACGUCAAGUCAUCAUGGCCCUUACGACCAGGGCUACACACGUGCUACAAUGGUAGGUACAGAGGGCAGCUACACAGCGAUGUGAUGCGAAUCUCAAAAAGCCUAUCGUAGUCCAGAUUGGAGUCUGCAACUCGACUCCAUGAAGUAGGAAUCGCUAGUAAUCGCGGAUCAGAAUGCCGCGGUGAAUACGUUCCCGGGCCUUGUACACACCGCCCGUCACACCAUGGGAGUUGAUUGCACCAGAAGUGGAUAGCCUAACCUUCGGGGAGGCGUUCACCACGGUGUGGUUGAUGACUGGGG